rnacentral:rRNA from 1 species
GACGAACGCUGGCGGCGUGCCUAAUACAUGCAAGUCGAACGAGAGCACCCGGUGCUUGCACUGGUCAAUCUAGUGGCGAACGGGUGAGUAACACGUGGGUAACCUGCCCAUCAGAGGGGGAUAACAUCCGGAAACGGAUGCUAAAACCGCAUAGGUCUUCGAACCGCAUGGUUUGAAGAGGAAAAGAGGCGCAAGCUUCUGCUGACGGAUGGACCCGCGGUGCAUUAGCUAGUUGGUGAGGUAACGGCUCACCAAGGCCGUGAUGCAUAGCCGACCUGAGAGGGUGAUCAGCCACAUUGGAACUGAGACACGGCCCAGACUCCUACGGGAGGCAGCAGUGGGGAAUCUUGCGCAAUGGGCGCAAGUCUGACGGAGCAAUGCCGCGUGAGUGAAGAAGGUGUUCGGAUCGUAAAGCUCUGUUGUUAGAGAAGAACAAGUGCUAGAGUAACUGUUGGCGCCUUGACGGUAUCUAAACAGAAAGCCACGGCUAACUACGUG